AACGAACGCUGGCGGCAUGCCUAACACAUGCAAGUCGAACGAUGCCUUCGGGCAUAGUGGCGCACGGGUGCGUAACGCGUGGGAAUCUGCCUUUCGGUUCGGAAUAACUCAGGGAAACUUGAGCUAAUACCGGAUAACGUCGCAAGACCAAAGAUUUAUCACCGAAAGAUGAGCCCGCGUAGGAUUAGCUAGUUGGUGAGGUAAAGGCUCACCAAGGCGACGAUCCUUAGCUGGUCUGAGAGGAUGAUCAGCCACACUGGGACUGAGACACGGCCCAGACUCCUACGGGAGGCAGCAGUGGGGAAUAUCGGACAAUGGGCGAAAGCCUGAUCCAGCAAUGCCGCGUGAGUGAUGAAGGCCUUAGGGUUGUAAAGCUCUUUUACCCGGGAAGAUAAUGACGGUACCGGGAGAAUAAGCCCCGGCUAACUCCGUG
rnacentral:rRNA from 1 species